CAUUUCUCAAGGGCCUUGCACUGUUUUGGAGAAUGUAUUUCCAUUUGACAAACAAUUUAAUGUUGAUGUUUUGUUAAUGAUUUGUGGUUACUUAAUAAAAUAUGUCGCGUCUGGA